CCUCUGACUCUUAAUAUAUAUCCAGGAUUGAGAGCCAGUGGGAAAAUGUCACUCCAGCAGGUUUUAUCACUGCCAGCAUGCUCCUGGGCCACUUACUAGCCUCUGAGCCUUCCUCUCCAGUGAAGUGAGAAUAAAAGUGACUGUUGACUAGGCUUGGUGGCUCCCACCUGUAAUCCCAGCACUUUGGGAGACCAAGAUGGGAGGAUCACUUGAGGCCAGGAGUUCAAGACCAGCCUGGGCAACAUAGGGAGACCCUGUCUCUAUAAAAACCAUAAAAAAUAUUAGCUAGGUGUGGUGGUGCACACCUGUGGUCCCUGCUACUUUGGAGGCUGAGGUGGGAGGAUCGCCUGUGCCUGGGAGGUCAAGGCUGCAGUGAGCCGUAAAUGGAGCACACGAGUGCGCUCUAGCCUGGGCAAGAGUGAGGCCAUCUCAAAAAAAAAAAAAAAAAAAAGAAAAGAAAAGAAAAGGAAAAAAAAAUGACUGCUCUUCAAGUCAAAGGUAUUAGAGACUGGAGGGUCUCUGGUGCACAGUAGGAACUGGGAGGAGGAUAAAGAUCAGUUUCAGGCCGGGCGCAGUGGCUGUAAUCCCAGCACUUUGGGAGGCCAAGGCAGGCGGAUUGCCUGAGCUCAGGAGUUCGAGACCAGCCUGGCCAACAUGGUGAAACUUCGUCUCUACUAAAAAUACAAAAAUUAGCCGUACAUGGUGGCAGGCAACUGUAGUCUCAGCUACUCGGGAGGCUGAGGCAGGAGAAUUGCUUGAACCAGGGAUGCAGAGGUUGCAGUGAGUCGAGAUUGCGCCAUUGUACUCUGGCCUGGGGGACAGAGCGAGACUCUGUCUCAAAAACAAAAACACAGCUCCGAUUGCAGGCUGUGAAGGGCAGGGAAUUGCACUCAUUCUCCUCCAGCCCCUUCCCUUACCCAGGUCCAGGCAGCCUCCUUUGUCCCCAACCCCAGGGCUCUUGCUCCAGGCAGUCCUGAGGUUGGACGUAAGGUCGGUGAUGCGGCCCUGCCCCCAGACCUUCCCACAGCUUCAGGUUCAGGAAAAGGCACAUGAAGUUUGGUAUAAACAAGGACACAACUUCACAGAGUUUCUCACUGAUUUAAGUUAAAUAUUCUAGUCUUUAGAGAAUGGGUCACAUGACUCAGGAAUUGCCAACAGCCUGUUUUCACCCAGCGGCUUCCUGGUUUACCCCCUUUAGGAGAUGAUUAAUGGAAAUUGAGAAUGUGUCUCAUAAAUUACUUUUUUUUUUUUUAAAGCAGCACAGUUUUAGGAACUUUUCGAGACAGAACAGCUCAGCCAGCCUAGACUUCCACUUGUCCUCCCUCCUCCCACUCCUGCCAAUUAACACCAGUCACCAGAGGCAAGAACCGCCUAGAUCAGAAGCGACCCCAGGAACCAGGCUUCAGCACCCCUGAUCUUCAUCAAUAUUUUCUCAACUUGCCUAAUCAUAGGACUGAGCUAUAAUUCUUUAAAAAAAAAAAAAAAACAAAACCCCAACCACACACACACAAACAGAGACAGGGUCUCGCUAUGUUGCUCAGGCUGGUCUGGAACUCCUGGCCUCAAGCCAUCCUCCCAUUCGGGCCUCCCAAAGUACUGGGAUUACAGGCCUGAGCCACCGCAUCCAGCCCUAGGCUGGAAUUCUUAACCCCACUCCUGCUGCUUUUUGCAGGCCUCACUUCUGACUCACUGGGUCUAAGUUUCCGGGAGAGAGCCUCUGGACCCUGUGUUCUAGGCAAACGCCCCUAAGUAACAGCUCCCACUUCAGAUGAGCUUAAUCUGUGCCAGGUAGUGUUAAGUGCCCUCAAUUAACUCAUGUUAUCCUCACAAGAACCUGCAAGUUAAGAAAUUUGCCCAAGAGCACACAGUUAUCAAAGGACGGAGCCGGAAGUCCAACCUGGCUAUAACUGUAGAGACCACAAACUAGGAGGCAGUGGCUUCUCAGGCAGAAACACAAAGAUUCUAAGCCGAGAACAAGAACUAGAGGACCUGGGUGGGGCUGUGUACUGCCCAGAUGGUGCUAAUGGCAGUUCAAAGGUGAGUGUUUCCUGUAAGUUGGGCCAGCGCCCAGCCUCUGCUCCCCCAGAACCUGGGAGGGCAGCACCCAAGAUAACCUGAGCACCCCGUUACCUUGGAGCCCUGAGGCUGUCUCUGGGCCACCCACUCAAGGUGGCCCCCCUACCUGCUCAAGGCUACAUACAGAGGGCUGUCCUGCCCAAACAGCCACACCCGAGGGCCGACCCAGUGCUCUGUGUGCCAAGGGAGUUUCUGGCAGAGCCACCUGAUACCCCACGUGACAGCUGGCCUCUCCCCCAUCACCCAGGGGCUACCCAGGCAGAGAGCUGAGAACACAGGGGCCAUCAGCCUCGCUAUCACCUCCACCCCCAAGUGCUUGGCUCCCCAAGGGACAGCUCUAAAAUCCCCAGAAUCUCAGGCUGGUGGGUCCAGCUGAGCAUCCUAGUUUUCACUUUCUCCUCCCAAAAAGGAAAGAACCUUGGUCACUAAAUUCUACGCCUUCUGGAAAUCACUCUGCUAAUGACUUCCUGAAUGAUCGACUGAGACCAACAGCUGGCCCAGCCCUGCAUGGAGGAGUAAGAAACCCUCAUCUGUCAGAGUUAAGGGGCCUGAAUGGGUACAGGUCACAUUCUUGGAGCUCAAGGUGACAGGCCAGAGCCCAGGUCCCCAGGACAGUGCAGGUGAGUAGAGCAAGCACCGAUCUAGGGCUAAGAUGGGGUCUGAAUGACCCUGUAAGGUUCCCCACCUGAUUUCCCAGGUGGGACCCUGAAGUCAGAGAGAGGCCUGAGAGUUGCAGGGGGGUGGGGGACCGGUGUUGGUGUUAAUCUGCCUUUACUUCAAAACCCAGAAGACUCCCAACUAUUGGAAAGUGAAACCUCCAAAAGCAAAGCCACCACCCAUCCUCCUUCCCCACUCUGAUUCAGACAUGUUUUCCCUGCCCCAGCAGAAGCAAGGCCCUUCAAAGCAAGACAGGACUAAAGAGAGCCUCAAGGGAUACAAAGAUCUGCCCCUGAUUUGGGGUUUGGGGGGCUAGUACAAUGUACUCACAUCUAGAAGUGCAGGUAGCUGCAACAAACGCCUCAGAUGGGGAACUCUCACCCUGCCUUGGGGAUCACUUCCCGGCAGGGCAAGGCAGGCCAAGCCCAGGGGUGGGGCUUGGGAGUUAAAGGGCCCGUGUGCAGCUGGUUCUCAUUUUAUCCUCCGGGCUGCUUCUGCUGCAGCUGAAGGCACACUGCUCCCUGAGUGCUCAUGGGUUUCUACCUUGGAGCCAGCUGGCUGCACUGGAGUGGGACUGGGAGGAGUUGGAGGGCCCGAGAUGGGACAGGUGCUAACUGAGGGCACCUCUACCCAUCUGGCUUUCAUUUUCCAAUCUGGCACCUUGUCCAGGCGGGCCUCCCGUUUCUGGCUCCGGGCUGAGCUUCCUGGAGAAGAGGAAGGUAAGAUACAUGGAAGGGAUGGAGGUGGUGUACACCAUACCUGCCUGGACCUCACUCAUCACUUGGGGAGCUGGUUAAACAUGCAGGUCCCCAGGCCUCUGUCUUGGAGGACCUGAGGUUCAGGGUUGGACCUCAGAGAGGGUGAGAAGCAAAGAUCUUGAUUGACAGGAAGGCACAGGUAAUGUGAAGAACAGGGAGGAACAUACUGGGCAGGGGAAUGGCAAGGGUAGAGGCCCCAGGACAAGAACAGAGUUCUGUUCAAAGAAGAGUGCAGGCCGGGCAUGGUGGUUCACGCUUGUAAUGCCAGCACUUUGGGAGGCUGAGGUGGGCAACUCACGAGGUCAGGAGUUUGAGACCAGCCUGGCCAACACAAAAAAUUAGCUGGGCGUGGUGGUGGGCGCCUGUAAUCCCAGCUACUUGGGAGGCUGAGGCAGAAGAAUCGCUUGAACCCGGGAGGUGGAGGUUGCAAUGAGCCAAGAUCGCACUACUGCACUCCAGCCUCGGUGACACAGCUACACUCCGUCUCCCCUACUCGCCAAAAACAAAAACAAAAAAAAGAGUGCAGAGAACUGGAGGUGGCGGGAAAAGCGCUUGGAUUCUCCUUUGACAUGCUCUUCCCUGGCAAGAUGGAAUCCCUUGGAAAAUUUUAAGUGGAAAAGUGACACGAUUUAUGGCUGAGUGCAGCAGCUCACGCCUGUAAUUCCAGCACUUUGGGAAGCUGAGGCAGGCACUUUGGGAAGCUUUAGGUCAGGAGUUCAAGACCAGCCUCGCCAACAUGGCGAAACCCCCUCUCUACUAGAAAAUACAAAAAUUAGCUAGGCGUGGUGACGUGUCCUUGUAAUCCCAGCUACUCAGGAGACUGAGGUAGGAGAAUCGCUUCAACCCAGGAGGUGGAGAUUGCAGUGAGCCAAGAUCAUGCCACUGCACUCCAGCCUGAGCAAGAGAAAGACUUCGUCUCAAAGAAAAAAAAAGUGAUAUGAUUUAUGUUUUAAAAGGUUCAUCUGAAUUGCAGAAGCUGGAAGCAGAGAGCCCAGUUAGGAGCUACUACAACUAUCCAGGCAAGAAAGACAGUGGCUUGGAUGGGGAUGUGGUAUUGAAAGUGGAGACUAGCAGAGGUACUUGGAAAUGUACAUCUUAUAGCUACCAAGACUUGCUGCUGGUGUGAAUGUUCAGGUAAAAGAGAGAGAAAUCAAGAAUGGCUCUAGGCUGGGUGCAGUGACUCAUGCCUGUAAUCUCAGCACUUUGAGAACCGAGGCGGAUGGAUCACUUGAGCUCAAGAGUUCGAGACCAACCAGUCUGGGCAACACAGCAAGACUCUGUCUCUCCACCCCUCAAAAAAAAGAAAAAAGGAAAGGCAUGACUCUGAGGGUAAAUUCUAGGAAGGCAUGUGGGGUGGGAAAUGGGGCCAGCGGUGUGAUUAAAGAAUGUACAUGGUAGUAGAGGGAUGCAGAUCUAGAUAAUAUUGAAAGGCCAGGACUUGGACUUCUGGGAAUGGGAAACAUGAUAGAAUUAUCUGUAAUUUUCCAGAAUCAAUGACUAGUUGUUUUUUUAAAAAAAGAAUUAUCUGUAAUUGUGUUUUUUGAGACGGAGUCUCACUCUCUCGCCCAGGCUGGAGUGCAGUGGUGUGAUCUCAGGUCACUGCAACCUCCACCUCCCAGGCUCAAGCGAUUCUCCUGCCUCAGCCUCCUGAGUAGCUGGGACUACAGGUGCCCGCCACUAUGCCCGGCUAAUUUUUUGUAUUAUAAUUGUCUCUUAAAGGAAGACAAGGGGCCAGGCGCAUUGGCUCAUGCCUGCAAUCCUAGCACUUUGGGAGGCUGAGGUGGGCGGAUCACAAGGUCAGGAAUUCAAGACCAGCCUGGCCAACAUGGUGAAAGCCUGUCUCUACUAAAAAUACAAAAAUUGGCCCAGAGUGGUGGCAUGCGUCUGUAAUCCCAGCUACUUGGGAGGCUGAGGCAGGAGAAUUGCUUGAACCCAGGAGGCGGAGGUUGCAGUGAGUUGAGAUCGUGCCAUUGCACUCCAGCCUGGGGGACAAGGGCAAGACUCCAUCUCAAAAAAAAAAAAAAAAAAAAAAGGAAGACAAGGUAGUAAUCUAAGUCAUAAAGAUGGUGCUACUGGGUGAAUACUCUCUCCUGCAGCUGUAAGUUGUGUGGGAGCUGAGGCAGCAAGCAAAGGCCUCUAGGGGAGCCGAUCUUGGGUAACUGAGCCGAGGCCCUUCACCUCCCCCAACUGUUUCCUCUUCGUUUGUACCUGGGGUGCGUCUCCGGUCAAUCAGGGAGUCCUUUGGUGUCACUGGCUCAUCAUCAAAAUCAAAUUCCGUGGGCAUGUGUGGUCUGGGACAGGUGAACAUAGUUAAGGGUGAGGGCGGUCCUCCCUCCCACCCACACGUGUGCUUCUCCCCUGCCCGUUCCUCCUCCCCCGCUGGCUUCCCUCCCUCCACUUUCAAAGGUUCCAGCGUCCCACAUUUUCCCCUCCCUAUUUCCUCCCGCCAUCAGGGGAGCAGCCCCGGGACAAGGUGUAAGGGUGUGCCUUUACUUUUCCUCUUCCUCUUCUUUGGCCUCCGGCUCCUCAUCGGAUCUCU
rnacentral:lncRNA from 10 species